GCCGCGUUGAGAGGUUGUUCAACAUGGUGUGGUGUAAUUCUCAGUUUUGCUUCUUGGUACUGAGGACUUUGGCCUGUUUUGUAGCAGUUUCCUAUGGAAGUAUUAGAGAUGGGAGCACAUUUAGGUUAACAAAUGAAGAGACCGAUCCGACGGAAUUCGAAACCAAAUUUAGAAGAGACUUCCUUCGUGACGCAAAUGAGCCCAGAUCUCCGACUGGCGUCGUAACUGGAAACGGCUCUCUUGCCUUUGAUUCAGACGGUCGGGAGUCUAACCAAACAACAGGCAUGGCUUCUCGGCACCUGUUGAUGAAUGCUAAACUAAAACGCAUGGGACAUUCGGUGCAGUGCGCUGAUGAUGCUAUGACCUUGCGGGUGAAGGGAGGGAAGACUCCUCAUUUUCUGGUUGACAAUGGUGACGGGACUCUCAUUCCCGUGACUCGGAUGCCUUCUCAGUGUGGAUUCUCUGUGAGAAGGUCACGCAGAGAUGUGCUUUUUGUAGCUCCAUACCAAGGCUGCCAUGUUACUCAACGGGGUGGAGAUCAUGUACUGCAUUUAAAGCUGUGGGGGGAAUCCAUGACAAUGUCUUGUCCUCUUGCACCUCCUCGCCCUUCAGUCUCCUGCCUCAGAAACGGCAUGGUGUUGAAUAUGGGUAACAUUGCAGCAGAUGCACUCUCUG